GGAUUCCCCUAGUAACGGCGAGUGAACCGGGAAGAGCUCAAAUUUGAAAUCUGGCGUCCUCAGGGCGUCCGAGUUGUAAUCUAUAGAGGCGUUUUCCGUGCCGGACCGUGUCCAAGUUCCUUGGAACAGGAUAUCAAAGAGGGUGACAAUCCCGUACUUGACACGACGACCGGUGCUCUGUGAUACGUCUUCUACGAGUCGAGUUGUUUGGGAAUGCAGCUCAAAAUGGGUGGUGAGUUCCAUCUAAAGCUAAAUAUUGGCGAGAGACCGAUAGCGAACAAGUACCGUGAGGGAAAGAUGAAAAGCACUUUGGAAAGAGAGUUAAACAGUACGUGAAAUUGUUGAAAGGGAAACGAUUGAAGUCAGUCGUGACCGAGAGGCUCAGCCGGUUCUGCCGGUGUAUUCCCCUCGGUCGGGUCAACAUCAGUUUUGUCCGGUGGAUAAGGGCGGUAGGAAGGUGGCACCCUCGGGUGUGUUAUAGCCUGCCGUCGCAUACAUCGGGUGAGACUGAGGAACGCAGCUCGCCUUUAUGGCCGGGGUUCGCCCACGUCCG
rnacentral:rRNA from 1 species